UGUGUCUAUCUACAGGAACAAGGGCUUCCCCUCUUGCUGCUGUACUUUAGUGUACUGUAGAGUUGGACCCAAUCUGCCAGGCUCCCGGUCACUCGGAGUGACUUUCUUCUCAGGCUGCUUGCCCUUCUCUGUCAUCUGACUUCCGUGGAGGUAAGGCCCUAACUAAACACUUAACUCAGGCACAGCCAAGGUGGUAUGUAAAGUAGACCAACCUUAGUUGUCAUGACAUUUUGUAGUUUUGUCUCUAAAGUCCUUGUUUCCAAAGUGUUUCUUCAUGCUUGCCAUCAAGCUCCAGAUAAUCCUGAGAGAGGGAUACCAUCCUCUCAAUAUUCAAGAGUCACCCUCUUACAGGGGACCCCUAGAUGU
rnacentral:lncRNA from 1 species